rnacentral:lncRNA from 1 species
GCUGGGCGCACCCGUCCCGUUCGUCCCCGGACGUUGCUCUCUACCCCGGGAACGUCGAGACUGGAGCGCCCGAACUGAGCCACCUUCGCGGACCCCGAGAGCGGCGGCGCGACUCACCGCGGAGGCGCCCGGACGCGUCAAGCCCAGCCCAAUAGGAAGCACCUGAUCCACACUCUUUCUAGCCCCAGGGAUGCUCAGGAAAGCAGCCUUUCUUUAGGGCUGUCAUCUGUUCUGGGGAUCUGUUGCUGUUUCUUGGGCCCACAGAAUACACUCCACACCUCGGGACUCCAUAAUAUUGGACAAGGCUGGAAGGCCCAUUUGGCUCCUGCAGCCUCUUAUGCAGGUGAGGACAGACCCAAGGUCCAGGCAAUGCUGGCCUUUGGAACACAGAACCUGGCUCACUGACUCCCACUCCAGUUGUCUUUUCCCUCUGCCUCUGGAGCAACCCUCUCUCCUCCAGAGCAACCCCUGUCCCUCCUUCCUACCUCUCUCUAGGGCUGCACCCCCAGCUCACCUUAGACCUGGCCCUUCCUACCUGUUGCCCCUACUGUCUUGUCCCAUCCCAGUGGUCAGGAGGGAGAGUACUGGCCAAAGGCCCAGCUCCACCUGUGACUUAGGGGAGUGCCAGGCAUCACCCAGAGGUCCCGGCCCUCGGGGGCCUGGCAGGCUCUGCUGUGGGGGAAGCAGAGUUAGAACUGGGGCUGCUUCUCCUGUCCCCCAGCCUGGCUGGGCCUCCCCCACCUCCCUUUCUGCCUGCCCUCUUACAACUCCAGCAGGGGGCGGGCAGGGGAAAGAAAAGGAGGGACAAGUUGGAUGGGGUCCAUUUGGUGUCCAGGAACAACUUGGAGAGAGGCGGGGAGGGGACAGGCAGCAGGGCCCUGGCAGAGCCAGGGGAGGGCUGGCCUUUGGAUGGCCUUCUGAUCCCAAGCCCAUCCUCCUGGGGCAGUCUUCCCUUGAAAGGGAGGGUUUGGUGAACCCUGGUGCGGACCCCCCCGCCGGACCUCACUGCCCCAGUGCGGGGCGUGGUAGGCGGGUUUGCAAUGGGUACAGCCUCUCUCUCCAUUCCAGUAGAGCAGCUCCCAGGGCCCAGAGAGGCUGUCACUGAGACUUCCCUCUGGGGUGGGGUGGGUUCUGGUGGCCCUGUGUUCCCCUGCAGGAGGACCUCCUGAGGCUUCGGGCAGGAGCUGGUGCACACCUGGAGGAGAGUGCUGGUGAAUGGCAGGUGUGUGCCUCAGUGUCCUUGCUGCCAGGGUGUCAGCCCUGCUUCACCACUGGCCGUUUGUCUCUGUCCCCUCCACUGGCCUCUUGAAGCACAGAGACCCUCCGGGUACUUUCCUUCCUCUGGGCUUCCACUCAUGCUAUUCCCUGCUCCCUUUUUCUACCUGGAGACCCCCAUUCCUCCUCCUCCUCUGCUGCCCUCACCUCCACCUGGGCCCUCCCAGCUCCCGGGAGAUGGCUGAACCCCACUCCCCACCCGCUAGUCAUCCUCUUCAGCGGUCCUCCCAGAGCUGUCCUCAGCAUGGCAGCCUCCACAGCCCCUGGGUGUCACCCCCGGUUUCGUGUCUGCCUCGGACUCCAGACCUGCCCCUCCCAGGCUGGCCCAGAUGGAUCCUCUACAGUGACUAACCCAAACCAGCACCAGGCAGGGACCCAAUAAACCUUUGUGAAUGGA